AGCGAACGCUGGCGGCAGGCUUAACACAUGCAAGUCGAACGGAUCCUCCGGGAUUAGUGGCGGACGGGUGAGUAACACGUGGGAACGUGCCUUUUGGUUCGGAACAACACAGGGAAACUUGUGCUAAUACCCGGAUGUGCCCUUCGGGGAAAGAUUUAUCGCCAUUAGAGCGGCCCGCGUCUGAUUAGCUUGUUGGUGAGGUAAAGGCUCACCAAGGCUACGAUCAGUAGCUGGUCUGAGAGGAUGAUCAGCCACACUGGGACUGAGACACGGCCCAGACUCCUACGGGAGGCA
rnacentral:rRNA from 1 species